GGCGGCUGCUUUGGGGCAGUGGGAAGAGGUGCCAGGCGGCCGGGAUGGGCUGCUUCCCGGGUGCGGGGGGGUCCGGUCCCCGUGGAGCAGGUUACAGGGCUGAAUCUGCUUGAUAAGGGGAAGGGAUCGCAUAACUGCCGUGACCCCGAGAUCAGAGCGGUCGGAAGCGCCGCCACUUCCCGGGCCACUCCCGCCCUGCUUCGGGCGGGGAUCUCCGCUCCGGGUCUGCCGGGCGGGAGCGGCGGCAGGAGCUGCACCCGGAGCGAUGUCGUAGUCAAAGUCCCGAUGCUACUUUCGGUACACGCAAAUAACCAGACCGGACUCGUUUCACUUUCCUAUUGUCAGAUUUCAAGGUGCAGGCACAGCGAACACGUGGGGAAUUAACCCCAGGCGAUGCCAUGCUCCUUCCCUCCCUCUCCUCGUCUCCCCUCCCCUCUUCUCCUGGUGGGGGGUGUUCCGUUCCCUCCGUCCCCCCUGCCCGAGUUAGCUGGGGAUAGUUGGGACUCAUUAGCGUAGAGCCCGGCAAAGCAGAGCCAUGACGCUGCAGUAGCUGUUGCUAGAUGGAUUAUUGAAGUUCCUGAAUAUUCAGGGCAGCAGGACAAAACAGCCUGGAAUAACUUCCAAGCGCUGGCAUAACUGUAGCUGCUCGGGUAACUCUGCUAUUGUUUCAUGUGGGAUCAACAUGAAUAUUAAUAGCUGCUUUUAGACGAUUUUUUUGUGUGUCUGUGUGGCAUGUAACUUGUAACUACUCUGCACAAGUUCCAAGAUCUGGUCCUUAAAAUAAACUCACGGAAGUUUUAUUUUGCCGUGGUCAUAAUGUGUGAGUUGUAAUUUGAAUGCGUGAAAUUAAAAAGUAGAGAAACUC